rnacentral:pre_miRNA from 1 species
AUUACUCUCCGUUAUUCCUCUGUUAGAGGUGUCAUUGUUUUAUAUUUUAUAUAACAACACUAUUAUUCCUCUGGUAAUAUAAAAUGUAAAACAAUGGCACCUCUAACAGAGGAAUAACGGUGUUGUAA